AACGAACGCUGGCGGCAUGCCUAACACAUGCAAGUCGAACGAGACCUUCGGGUCUAGUGGCGCACGGGUGCGUAACGCGUGGGAACCUGCCCUUAGGUUCGGAAUAACUCCCCGAAAGGGGUGCUAAUACCGGAUAAUGUCUUCGGACCAAAGAUUUCUCGCCUUUGGAUGGGCCCGCGUUGGAUUAGCUAGUUGGUAGGGUAAAAGCCUACCAAGGCGACGAUCCAUAGCUGGUCUGAGAGGAUGAGCAGCCACACUGGGACUGAGACACGGCCCAGACUCCUACGGGAGGCAGCAGUGGGGAAUAUUGGACAAUGGGCGAAAGCCUGAUCCAGCAAUGCCGCGUGAGUGAUGAAGGCCUUAGGGUUGUAAAGCUCUUUUACCCGGGAUGAUAAUGACAGUACCGGGAGAAUAAGCUCCGGCUAACUCCGUG
rnacentral:rRNA from 1 species